rnacentral:rRNA from 1 species
UACAGAGGUCUCAAGCGUUGUUCGGAUUCAUUGGGCGUAAAGGGUGCGUAGGCGGCGCGGUAAGUCGGGUGUGAAAUCUCGGAGCUUAACUCCGAGACUGCAUUCGAUACUGCCGUGCUUGAGGACUGGAGAGGAGACUGGAAUUUACGGUGUAGCGGUGAAAUGCGUAGAUAUCGUAAGGAAGACCAGUGGCGAAGGCGGGUCUCUGGACAGUACCUGACGCUGAGGCACGAAGGUCAGGGGAGCAAACGGG